UACGUAGGGUGCGAGCGUUGUCCGGAAUUACUGGGCGUAAAGAGCUCGUAGGUGGUUUGUCGCGUUGUCCGUGAAAACUCACAGCUUAACUGUGGGCGUGCGGGCGAUACGGGCAGACUGGAGUACUGCAGGGGAGACUGGAAUUCCUGGUGUAGCGGUGGAAUGCGCAGAUAUCGGGAAGAACACCCGUGGCGAAGGCGGCUCUCUGGGACGGUACUGACGCUGAGACACGAAAGCGUGGGGAGCAAACCGG
rnacentral:rRNA from 1 species